GCUAUGUUCGGAACGGAUAAAUUCUGAAAGCAUAUAAGAGUGAAGCCGUCCCCAAGAUUAGGAAUCGAACCGUGCUUCGCACGGAAUUUCCAAAAUCCAAAUCUCAAAUUCCAAACAAUAAUUAAAUUCCAAUUUUCAAAAAUUAAAUUUUGAUUAUUGAAAUUUGUUUGGAGCUUGGUUAUUGGAACUUGGAACUUUCGCGCGGAGCGCGGGAAAGGCCCCUGGAAGACUACCAGGUUGAUAGGUCCUAGGUGUAAGCGCAGUAAUGCGUUGAGCCGAGGGAUACUAAUUUGCCAAUCCUAUUAGGAAA
rfam:Candidatus Taylorbacteria bacterium RIFCSPLOWO2_12_FTLL_44_15c rifcsplowo2_12_scaffold_11170, whole genome shotgun sequence.